CCUACGGGUGACAGCAGUGGGGAAUAUUGCACAAUGGGGGAAACCCUGAUGCAGCGACGCCGCGUGAGUGUAGAAGUCUUUCGGUCUGUAAAGCUCUGUCAGCAGGGAAGAAAAUGACGGUACCUGACCAAGACGCCCCGACUAACUACGUCCCAGCAGCCGCGGUACUCCGGAGGAGGCACGCGUUAUCCGGAUUUGCUGGGUGUAAGGGGAGCGUAGACGGCAGGGAAAGUCGGGAGGGAAAGGCGGGGGCUCAAGGCACGGACUGCCAUGGAAACUGCCAGGCUGGAGUGCAGGAGAGGUAAGUGGAAUUACUAGUGUAGCGGUGAAAUGCGUAGAUAUUAGGAGGAACACCAGUUGCGAAGGCGGCUGACGGGACUGUAACUGACGUUGAGGCUCGAAAGCGUGGGGAGCAAACAGGAUUAGAUACCCCAGUAGUC
rnacentral:rRNA from 1 species